GCCUUCGUGCUGUAGUGGUCAGCACACUGAGCCGGUAUUUCAGAGGUCCGUGGUUCGAUUCCCGGCGAAGGCG
rnacentral:tRNA from 1 species